rnacentral:rRNA from 1 species
UACGUAGGGUGCAAGCGUUGUCCGGAAUUAUUGGGCGUAAAGAGCUCGUAGGCGGUCUGUCGCGUCGGAUGUGAAAAAUCAGGGCUUAACCCUGGACCUGCAUUCGAUACGGGCAGACUAGAGUUCGGUAGGGGAGACUGGAAUUCCUGGUGUAGCGGUGAAAUGCGCAGAUAUCAGGAGGAACACCGGUGGCGAAGGCGGGUCUCUGGGCCGAUACUGACGCUGAGGAGCGAAAGCGUGGGGGAGCGAACAGG